CCGACCUUAGCUUAGUUGGUAGAACGGAGGACUUUAUUUUGUUGGCAGAUAAUCCUUAGGUCGCUGUUUUGAAUCCGGCUGGUUGGA
rnacentral:tRNA from 1 species